AGUGAACGCUGGCGGUAGGCCUAACACAUGCAAGUCGAACGGCAGCACAGUAAGAGCUUGCUCUUACGGGUGGCGAGUGGCGGACGGGUGAGGAAUACAUCGGAAUCUACUUUUUCGUGGGGGAUAACGUAGGGAAACUUACGCUAAUACCGCAUACGACCUACGGGUGAAAGCAGGGGAUCUUCGGACCUUGCGCGAUUGAAUGAGCCGAUGUCGGAUUAGCUAGUUGGCGGGGUAAAGGCCCACCAAGGCGACGAUCCGUAGCUGGUCUGAGAGGAUGAUCAGCCACACUGGAACUGAGACACGGUCCAGACUCCUACGGGAGGCAGCAGUGGGGAAUAUUGGACAAUGGGCGCAAGCCUGGUCCAGCUAUACCGCGUGGGUGAAGAAGGCCUUCGGGUUGUAAAGCCCUUUUGUUGGGAAAGAAAAGCAGCAGGUUAAUACCCCGCUGUUCUGACGGUACCCAAAGAAUAAGCACCGGCUAACUUCGUG
rnacentral:rRNA from 1 species